rnacentral:rRNA from 1 species
AUGGACAUCGAUUAUAUUGUGAAAAUAAGGACAUCCCCAAGGCAACGCUCUGAUUUCGUUUCGUGGUUCCCAGAGAAGAACGACCAAUUUUUGGUCAGGAGUGCUUAUAGACUUGCCACAGUUGAUCAUAACAUAGCGUUUGCGGGGGGAGCGUCCUGUUCUGCACCAAGUGGUACGAGAUCUAUUUGGAAUGGUGUAUGGAAAUCGUCGGUACCUCAGAAGAUGAAGAUCACAGCUUGGAAGGUAGUUGCAGGUGCCUUGCCAACAGCGCAAUGUAAAAACCUAAGGCAUAUAUCCACGCGCUCGACUUGUCCCUUAUGUGGAGUGGAAGAGGAGGGGUCUUUUCAUGCGUUAGUCACAUGCAAUAAUGUGCGCAUGAUUUGGCUGAAUAUGAGAACUAGGUGGCCUCUUCCCUCAGAUGAAAUUCUCAUUGACAAUGGCAAGGAUUGGGUGCUGCAUGUGCUGGCUAACUGCACAGAUGAGGUCCGGGAUAUGGUGAUUAUGUUAAUCUGGCGAAUCUGGCAACUGCGGACAGAUCAAACACAUGGCAAGGAAAUCCCACCAAUGGAGGUCACGGUGGAGUUCCUCGACAGCUACUACAGGUCUAUCAAACUUGCAGGCCGGUAUAACACGGAGGAAAUAAUCAAAGGGAAGAUGACAGUGUCUGCCGAGUGCACAGGCUCGCUAGUCAAAGUGAAGCCCCCGAACAGGCCAUGGCCAGCACCACAGCCGGGCUAUACAGCCUUGUCCGUCGACGGGUCCUUUUUGGCCUCCGAUGGAUCAGCGGCUGCUGGCAUGAUUCUACGUGACGAGGAAGGCAAGAUCAUUUUUUCAGCCGAUCGCUAUAUCUUUCACUGCAACGACUCUCUGGAAGCGGAAAUACACGCCCUCAUGCAGGGCAUGGUGCUGGCUAUACAGAAUACGUCACUUCCGGUGAUCGUUCAGUUAGAUUCCGCAGAAGCACUAUCGAUCUUGUCUAACAAUGGUCUGCUGAAGUCAUCUUAUGGGCAGUUGGUGCUUGAGAUUAAGGAGUUGAUGAGUAAUAGGGAGUUUUUACCACAGAAAAUUCACCGUAUUAUGCAGAGGCUGGAUGUAAUACUUAAGAGCAUCUCCAACAUCCGCGCUAAACAAGCGCCACGCCGCAAAUUUGGCCAUUUUAGCGCGCGCAACCCGGCGGGUGGCUCCAGCGGGCGCGCAGUAACCGCGCGCGCGGUCGGAUUCGCUAUCUCGCGCGGUGUAUUUGGGGCGCCCGCUUCCGCGCGCGGCACACUCGAGCGCUCGCGCCGCACUCUCUCCUCCCCGCCUCCUACGCCCCGCGGGUGCUGGCGCCGACGAACUGCACCCAUGGACACACACGCCGGCACCCCGCUCACCCCAUCCUACAGCCGCGGCCCCUCCCCCGCCGCCCCCGCCGUCGGAAACCCUAGCGCGGGGAGCGUCGGCCUCGCCACCGUCGGAGCUCCGCCGAGCAUCGGCCUCGCGCGCAGCCUCUUCUUGCCACCGCGGAUGACCACGGCGACGGAUGGCGUCGCGCCGGCGCCGUCUUGUGCCGCCGCCGCCCCCCCCCUCUCAAAGCUCCCCAAUGCGGUGCGGCCGAAGAAGGGCAAGACAUCCGCGAAGAAGAACAAGGCGACGGACGGCUCCGGCAGCUCGAAGGCAAGGGAAAAGAAGUUUGCAGGGCGUUUGAGGGCGCGGCGGCUACCGAAGCGCCGGCGAGCUCACUCGUUGAGCCGGCCGCCGACGCGCACAACUGUCAACGAUCAUGCAUACAUGUCAACUAUGGGUGUUGGCUCCAACAAUUCACAUUGGUCUCAAACCAAUGACAUGCAUUUUGAAAACCAUGAGUUUGAGGUGGACGAGGAUGGUGAGGGCAUUGUUGACGCGCCGAAAGGAAGAGCGGGCAAUUACACCAACGCCGAUGACAUCUUACUAUGCAAUACUUGGUUGCAAGUGUCGAGGGAUCCAUCCGUUGGAGGUGAUCAAAGUAGAGAUGCUUAUUGGGGGCGGAUGGAAGAACACUUUGAUGUUCGCAACGUGAGUGGAAUUGACUGCUCCGAGAGAUCACUUCGGUCCCGGUGGUCGACAAUCAACUCGGAUUGUCAAAGGUGGGCGGCCUGUCAAAAGGCGGUUGACAAGUUGAACCCAAGUAUGGGUGGCUUUGGAGCACCCCCCGACGCUAUGGCCGUCAUGGGAGGCAUGAGUUUUGCUUCUCUCAUGGGAGGCAUGGGUGCACCUCCGGCCGCCAUGGGCGGAAUGUCUUUCGAUGUGCCUCCUCACACACAUUCCCAUGAAGAUGUCGUUGAAGAUCUUGCCAACACCGUCGGAGCUUCACGUGAUGCGAGAAAGGAUCCAUGCCUGGCUGGCUUACGGGCAUCCGUAACUCCAUUCAGCAAUCCUACUAGGAGUAGGUUUGGACGGAGGCCGAUCGGACUUGGAUUGGUGCCGGUGGCGAGCUUCGGUCGGCUGAGGGACCGGUCCAUUGCACCGCACGUGAAUGCAAUAAGAAUGUGCAGAGCCACAGCGGAGCCUGUCACUGUCUCUGACCUGCGUAUCGAAUUAAGACGCCCGCGCGCGCAUAUUGAUAUUUGGGAAGCGCGUUUUGACCGGCUCUUCGCGCGCGAUUAUACCAGUCUGGCAGCGAGGACGUUUCGAGCUGACGGAUGGUACGCAAAGCAGCGCAUGCAGCAGGGGACAACCAACGAACGUGCCAACUGCGACAUCGACGGAACUCCUGUAGCUCGCGGAGCCGACGGUGGGUACUGCCUAGUGCCUACUGGGUACGACGAUGAUGCAGCAGUACUGCUCAACUGCUCCGAAUCCCUCCUCUUCCGAGACUCCAAAUGGCUAUCUCCAUUGCAUAGGCGCUUAUAUAGGUGA